GGAUGGCAUAGUGGUUUGUGCAUUGGACUACAACUCCAAAGACCAGGGUUCAUAUCCCUGCUAAUCCA